rnacentral:lncRNA from 1 species
UCAUAGUUCAACAAUCCAAAAUUCUACAGACUUAGCAGCAAAUGAAUUCAGUGGUAACAAACUAAAUUUUAUUCUCACAACUCGUAUAGAAAACAAAAUCAAAGACGGUAAACUACAGGUACAUAUGUGUAAAGGUUUAGAAUAUAUACCUUCCUUCUUUUUCUUAUGAGGUUCUGGCCCUUCUUUUUCCCAAUUUAUUUUAAUUUCCGAUCCAUUGGCAUUUAGACACUGCAAC